GAUGAACGCGGCGAUGGAUUCCGCCUGGGCCUCGGCCCGAACCGCCGUCCGGCUGAUGAUUCCUGUCCCAUG
rnacentral:ncRNA from 2 species